ACAAAUAAUCUUUGAAUUCCAGAGGCAACUUGGCGUAACCUUUAGGGCUUGAAUGGUACCUGUGAAAAAGGCAAUAAUAGGGUGGGAAAGUGGGAAAAGGUUACUGUUUGUGCUCAUUUUCCUAUCUUUGGUAGCUAUGAAAACUAUCGGGUGACCCGGUAUAAAAUCACCGGGUUUCAUAGGAGUGGAGAUAAUUAUCGGUGUUGAAGGGAAAAUCUUGUCGGCAGAAUUUGGUGGUAUAAAGUUUAUCUCUCUUUCUCAGAAAUCUCUAAUCAACGAUUUCUCCCAAAUUUGCCCUCAAACCUCUCCAACUGCAACACCCUACCUCUCCAACUGCAACCCCGCGACACGAAGAAGACGCAUUGCCGGCAGCGAUUUCAACUUUUCGAGACAGCCAAGUGCAAGAAUUGCUCAGAUUGUAAAGUUGUAGAAUUGUGUCUGUGGACUUCUCUUCUCCAAUCUCUCAUUGCUCCCACCACCCCCACUGCAUUCCAGUUUGUUUAAGAUGGUUAAAGAAAGACAACGAAAGAUGAAGGAGGCGGAGACAGUUGUAAUUAUGAUUGAGGACAUUGUGAGGACACAACAACAAGACCUGCUCACAAUUUUGAACAUGGUCUAGACAAUUAUUACCUCGUCGAAUAUUGGAAAUAAUGAACUCAACUAUCACCUACAACAUGUCGUCAAAGCUUCCUGCUCAAGUGAGACACAUGGAUAGACUGUUUGGUCUAACUGAUAGAGACUGCAUCAGCAACCUCCGAAUGGAUCGCAAUGCAUUUGGGCGUUUAUGUCGGAUUCUACGCGACAGGUGCGGUUUGGUUGAUCAAAGAUACGUCCGAGUGGAGGAGCAGGUUGCAAUGUUUAUAUGGAUUUGGAGUGAGUGAGUUGUGGGAUUCCAGCUAUAUGUUUAUAUAGAGGAAGCACGUUUCUGUUGAUGGCGCCAAACUCAAGGAACUUAGGCGCCAAUUUUUUGGCAGGAAGAAUGAAGAAGAGUGGAUGGUAAUUUCAUGUCCCAAAAGGGUAUUAUUGUCAUCACAAGUAUUGUCAUCAUGUGGGAACAUAUCUCAUAUCUGCUACCAAACAUAGGUAUAUACAAUUUCUGAAUUCUCAAAAAUGCUACCGAACACUGGAAUAUAUGAAAAAUACUAUCUCCCAACUUGUGAAAAAUUA